rnacentral:rRNA from 1 species
UACGUAGGGGGCCAGCGUUGUCCGGAAUCAUUGGGCGUAAAGCGCGCGUAGGCGGUCAGGUAAGUCCGGUGUGAAAGUCAAAGGCUCAACCUUUGAAUGCCGCUGGAAACUGCCUGACUUGAGUCCGGUAGGGGCGAGUGGAAUUCCUGGUGUAGCGGUGAAAUGCGCAGAUAUCAGGAGGAACACCGGUGGCGAAGGCGGCAUCCUGGACCGGCAUUGACGCUGAGGAGCGAAAGCUAGGGGAGCAAACGGG